AUACGGAGGAUCCGAGCGUUAUCCGGAUUUAUUGGGUUUAAAGGGUGCGCAGGCGGCCAUUUAAGUCAGCGGUUAAAUCGUGGGGCUCAACCCCAUUCUGCCGUUGAUACUGGGUGGCUUGAUUGCGGUCGAGGUUGGCGGAAUUCGUUGUGUAGCGGUGAAAUGCAUAGAUAUGACGAAGAACACCGAUUGCGUAGGCAGCUGACCAGACCGCAAAUGACGCUCAUGCACGAAAGUGCGGGGAUCGAACAGGAUUAGAUACCCUGGUAGUCCGCACAGUAAACGAUGAAUACUUGUUUUCGGCGAUAUAAUGUCGGAGGCAAAGCGAAAGCGAUAAGUAUUCCACCUGGGGAGUACGCCUGCAACGGUGAAACUCAAAUGAAUUGACGGGG
rnacentral:rRNA from 1 species